GGUGGCGUAGCCAAGUGGUAAGGCAGAGGUCUGCAAAACCUCUAUGCGCCAGUUCGAAUCUGGCCGCCACCU
rnacentral:tRNA from 12 species